rnacentral:misc_RNA from 1 species
GUGAAUCAUCAAAUCUUUGAACGCAUAUUGCACUCUCUGGUAUUCCGGAGAGUAUGCCUAUUUGAGGGUCAUUUUAAAUAAUAUUAAUUCCAUGGUUGCUUGGUAUUUCAAAUGGGUUGGCUAUUUUUUGUGGUUGUAUAAAAUUUAAGACAAGCUAAUUUUCUUGGGUUUCGUUAUACUUUCAGUUAAA